rnacentral:lncRNA from 1 species
GCGGCGGCGGAGGCGGCUGUGGCGGCGGUGGCGGCGCGGUCCGGGCUCGGGCCGGGAGUUGCGGGCGGGCGGUGGGAGCGGCGGGGCCGGGCGGGCGCGCUGGAGGCUGCGGGCGGCCGUUCAGCGGGGGGUCGUAUGGAUCAGGGGGGGGCUCAUGGCUGCCGCGGCCGCCAUGUGCUGCUCUCACAGAGCCAUGGCUCGGGGAUCCGGGCUGCUGCCGCUGCGGCUCCGACUGCCGGGGGGAGGGGGAGCGGCACAGCGCAGGAAGCCAACCCGCCGCCGCCGCCGCCUGCAGCAGGGAGAGCGGAACGGGCGGGACUUGGCGGCGGCCGCCGCUGCCACUCACCGCGCGGGGCGCGCGCUCCGGAGCCGGGUGGGAAGGAGGGAGGGGGAGCGCGCCCCCAACGCCGCCGCCCGGUGUCCGCCGCCGCCCUCACGGCCCCGCGCGCUGCCCUGCCCUGCCCUGCGGCCCCGGCGCGGCGCGGCCCGCGCAGCCCGCCCGCCGCGGCUGUUGCAUAACCCAAGCAUGCGCGGGAGCGCGGGGCCGCGGGCGGAAGCGGGUGGCGGGGAAGGGGAGGGGCUGCGCGGGGGCGGAGGAUCGGGGCGGGCGGCGGGAGCCGGUGCGGUGCGGUGCGGUACGGCGCGGCGCGGCGCCCCGGUCCGCUCCGGCUGGCGCCAUCGUGGCCGGCGGACUCCGCGCCUCGGGGCGGAGCGGGCACGGAUCCGGGCGGCCGCUUGCCUCGGGCCGGGCGGGGCAGCGCUGCCGCCGCCACCUGUUGCCCGCGGCUCGGGCUGCCCGCCGUCACGGGGCCAGGCAACCGCCGGGCUCUCUGCCGGCCCCGCUGCUCUGAGCGCCGGAGCCCUGCGCAGCCGCCGCUCCCUCUGGCGGAGCCGCGCGGGCCCUCGUGGCCGCUAUUGGGCAGCGCUAAUUGCGGCCCAUCCUCGCCUCACGCGCAGCCCGGCAGUUACUGCCGCCCGCACGGCCUGCCCGGCCUCGGGGUGUGUGAGUCGAGUGCAGCUGCGUGGAAUCGUUUGCAAAAGGCACAGCGCUGUGCCUCGGCAGUUGCGUGCAUGAAGGAAUAACGCAGUGCCCGAGCAGGCUGUGCUGGGUGUCAGGAACACAUGGAGCUGUGUGUGUGUGUUGUUCCUUCACACCAAUAGUUUAUCAGUCAAAAAAAAACCCACAACAAAACGUUAUGAGACUUCAUUCAGGCUGGAUUGGCACCUAAAGUGAAUGCCCCCACCUGAGAGCAGCUAUACUGACAGGGCUGCAGAAGCAGUCAAUGAGAAAUACAUGUCUUCCUAGAAAUCCGUUUUUGUAAUGCUCUGACUGUGGUUCCCUAAGCAAAUAAUCACAUGGACUCGUUUUCCAUAGCAGUCAUCACAUUUACAAUAGCGUCUAAAGAAUAAAGCACAGAGCAUUCUAAAAAGCAUACAAAAUAUGGCAGCACUGCUAAUGUGAGGACGGAAGAUGUAGAAGAAAGGACUUAACCAUUCUAACUACCUCCAGAUUGCCCAAAACUUGGUCAAAAGAGCAAGUGCCGCCAUGCAGGAGGUGCGCAGACAGCAGCUGCUCAGACAUGCCUGCACAUAACCAGGUGUGAAGUGCAAGGUGUGAUCACAGGCAGCCCAAGGACAGCGAUGUACUCCUUCAAUACACUAUUCAGGAUCAAAUCUUUAACCAUAUCCCACUCUUUAAAACAGGCAUUCAAGAGACGCUUUUUUCCAUCUUCUGGCCAUACAGAGGAUAGCCCAUCGUCAGAUGAUUCUUAAGAAACGAGCGGUUGCUGAUUGAAGGACAAAUCGACAUCUGAGUACUUAUUUCACAGGAUGUUUAGGUUUGGUACUCUUAGGAAUAAGUCACAUAGAAAUAAAACAUUUCUUCAGUUUACUUUGGUGUUUAUUUUUUGUUUGUUCUGUAAAAAGGAAAACUCUUGUUCUGUAAAAAGGAAAACUAAUCCAAAGCACCUGAACUGUUAGCUUUGUGAUGCUUCCCAUGGAGAUAGGAGGGCACAGCGUUACUGAGUGCUGCAGGCUCACUGUGUGCAACUGGAUGCAACCCUCCCUCCUUGGGACAAAAGAGAAGAGAGGGGUAAAGCAGGAGGGGAACACAGUGCUUGAAGAAGUCGUUUGACACAAAUAGCUGUUUUUUUUUUUGGUAAGUAUUUGGCUGGACAAGAAGGCAAUGAAAAAGCAGUAUAAUUUAUGGAGAGCAAAAUUACGGCAGGAAAGCAGGUAGAAUAAGAUUUAAAAAGCAAUUAACUGAAGGCAUGAAGACAAACAAGGCAUUUUUUUCAACAACCAGCAGCAGAAUGCCUGCAGGAAUCAGUUAGAAAAUGGGGUAACGGAGGAAAAGGCACCGAGGAGCUUUUUUCUCAGCACAACACAUUGCGGUCUGCGAGUCGUGUAAGGGAAGGGUUAAUAAGAAUUAUUAUUAAAGUCAGUGACUCAUUAAACAACCUGAAUAGAAGAGAAUUAGGAGUGGCUCCCUAGAAGGAAGGAACUGAACAAUUAUUAGGAAGAGCUCCUAAUGAAUAACCAUGUCAGGGCAAGAACAUAGAGAUGAAUGUUAUCAUUUCAGUCUUUGUUUGUCUGCUAACGAAGUCGGGUCCCACCGUGAGAUGAAUGUGGAUGUAGGCAGCGGAAUGGGCUAUCCAGGGUACCCUUGGUGGGUACGUGUGCCUGGAGAUAACUGAUACCUGUAUUAUUAUCUGUGAGAAAUACUGGUUUUAUCUGAUUUCCCUUACUAUUUCUCCUCCUCUCUCACCCUGCUGCACGUCAUCAAGUUGCUGCUGCCCCAGAACUUCACAGUCCUCGCUGCUGCUGCAGGAGCAAAGCUCCUGUCCUGUCUGCUUACUGCUGGGAUGGGGAGCGGGCCACAGCUUGUCCUGCUGCAGGGCACUCGCAUGCAUUGCCACUGAAGUGCACGAGUGGACACGUGUCUUUUCUAUCAGUAUCUCUGUAUGCAAAUGCAGACAUUUGGAAGUAAGCAUCCAGGAAGUGCUGAGAUUCCUGUGUUGGCUGAGAUGUUAGCUGCCCUAUUUCCCUUUCCUGUAAUCUGACUGUAGUAGGGGUAGAUUGUAUGCAGUGAUAAAACGGGCCCUAUCUUCUCUCGCGGUAAAUUUCUUGCAUAUGUGCUUAGUCAAAUUUUUGCUUACAGAAGCUUGCAGAAUCUUCAUGUGCCUUAUGUAAAAACAACAACACUUCUGCUGGGACACUUGUGCAGGUUGACUCACCUCCAUCCCUAGGAUGUAAGUUUACUAAGAAGUGCUCACAGAGCUGCCAGGGUGCUCCUACAGACCCCACAGCCUGUACAGAACAGCAGAGCUGAGCAGGUGCCAGUGUUGUGAACAAGCACCAGAGCUGAACAAGGAGCUGAAACCUGGCACCAGUGUGAUGUGACACGUCUACCACGAUUUCCUCCUUGGUUGAAGUGCUUCAUCGUACCUCUGCUGCACCAGUAAGAGCUGUGUGCUCCAACUGCUGGCCUCCAGCUGAGAGCGCCGUGCUUCCCUUCCCAAUGGAAAAGCAACAGAAGUGGCCAUUAAUAGUACGAAUUUAUAGCUUAAGAGGUUUGCAAGUAUCUAAGUGCUGCAUGUGCUAUGAUAAUUUAUCUUUGAACUUGUUAGUAACAAUGCAUAAUUAACAAGUAAGCUGUAGGAACAUGCAAUUGCUAUGUAUUUACAUGGUAUGUGCCAGGCAUUGUGGUGUAAUUACAGAGCUGAUACCUGCUCUGUAGAAUGAGGCGCACAGUGUGCUCUAUUUCAUAUUAUUUCCCACAGCCGCCCAGUGAAGCAGAGCACAGCAUAGCAGGGUUUAAUGACACGCUUUGCUCCAGCGGAGGCAAUCCAUGAGGACAGAGCUACACAGACCUGUGCCCAGCACUGGCAUUUUGGCAUCACCGUAUGUCCUGCUCGCUUGAGUGGCAAUGCACAUGGAGCUCAAGUUACUUAUGCUUUGGAUUGCUGCCCUUUCGGUGAUAUAAAUGGAGUUGACUAUGCAGUACGGCAAUUUUUUCCUCUCAUAUAUAAUAUGACGCAUCUUUGCAAUAAUUACAGGUAAAACAGUGCACAAAAAUAAACUAUUUUCUAUGAAGUUUAAAAUAAAAACAAACAGAUGCCAGCUUGGAACAACUUAUUUACCCUAAAAUUCAUUAGGAUCAGAAUACCAAAUGUGAAGUAGCAUAACACAGGCACCAGGGGAAAAAAAACAGCUAGUGGUGAAAAGUGCAAAGAAAUCUGAUGCAUCUCCAAGCUAGUCAUCUUUUACUUGAUUCAGCAUAAACUGCAUGUAAAAAUAAAUUAAAAUAUUAUAUUUGAGAUUCACUUUUGGCAGGAAAAGGAAUGCUGUGCUUGUCAAAGUGACACAAGAAUUUCUGUGCCCAGUUUCUAAAAUGGUGUCAUCAGAACACAGAUAUGAAGUAUUACCCAUUCUGAGCAGAAAAUACAGACCGUGGUGGGCAGUAGACACAACACUACUCCGGGUAUAGAACUGACUUGAUAGAAACAUUGAUGUACCUGUUGAUGCUUAGGAAAUAAAAUUCAACCUCAGCAUACAGGGAAGCAACCUGAGAGUGGCCUAGUGGAACAAAAAGCUUCUUCCUGCAGCAGACUGAAUGGUCCAGAAUAAGUGAAGCCCAAGUCACUUAUCAGCAACAAGAGUUAACAUUUCAGUCCAUCUCAGAAGAUAUAGCUCAGGAACAUUCAUAAGGUGCACCAAGUCCUUCCUAUACUGAUGAAUUGAAGGUAAUUUCAGAAGAAGCUGAUUUGGAAGGAAAACAAUCUCCUUUUGGAAAAAUUCAUAUCUGGAAAACAUGUUAAUUGCUUUAUGACUUGCAUUCCUCAGUAUCUCUAUACAGAUUUUUUUUUAAUAAUUAUUUUUCAAGAUUUUCAUAAAGUGUACCUUUGGCAAAGGAACUGGGAAGAGAUGCCCACACAUAUCCUAGGUACAAAUGCAGGCACCAUCAAGAUUUCACGACUUGUUAAUUUCUACUUCUUCUAUGUAAAAUCAUGAAGUGCCUGGGUGACAGCUGCAGCAACUGUUUACAUUAUCUGAAAUACCAGCACAGUGUUCUCGCUGCAUACCAACAAGAACCGAGGCCCAUAUUCUACAAACGUUUUCAAAGGAAAUAUUUGAGGCAAGCUGCCAGCCUUGGGUUUGAAAUUCUCACUGCGGUUAAUGGUGGCACGCAGGGUUGGGGUUGACUUUUACCUACUUUUCAAUAUUGCAUAUGCAUUCCAGUACUUUCUUUGUAAGAGGACACAUGGUAAAUAUUCAAAUCCCUCCAAACAGUGAAUUCUUUUAAACUUUUAUCUGAAAAAGAUGCUAUUUUUCAAGCUGAGAAGGGCAGUUUCCUCCAUCUGUUCAGUGGCAGAUAAGUUCAAAACGAAGACUUUCCACCGGCUUCAGUAGGGUCUGAAUCAGACACCUCUGCCAGUGCUUUGAUAGAGUUAUUUUUCAUAAAGAUGCAACAUCAACCGGAAGAAUCCUGUAAUUAUUUCUGGGGAAUUAAUAAAUACUUCUUCAGUGGUGAAACACUGCAUACUUUCAGUCCUUAUUUGGAGCCCAACCACUCUAUAUGUCAUUGAAGGCCUUGUCUCGCACAGACAAUUAGUGAGACAAACUGGAAUGAUGUCUUCCAAAAGCUCUGGCUAGGAGCAGCUCCCAGUUGUGAAGCGUGCAGAUGAUGUUCUCUUUAGGGCUGGAAAAGCUAUCUGCUAGCUGAUGGGAAAAUUACAGGUGCUGAUGAAGUGUGAGCCUCUCAGUGAACAUGUCUGCCUAAGACUGAAAUGAUUUUCUGUAAUUCCUGCUUUCUGCACAAGUUUUCUGGGGAGGGGCUUCAAAAGUGAGAAUUUCCCCAAGGAAAAGGAAAUGUGUCUCUUUGAUAUGGCCAUGGAGCUGAGGAGCAGACACCGUGAGUUACAAGUUCAUGGAGGGUGAUGACAAAUGUUUGAACACUCCUUAGCAAAUCACUCACACAUGAUUUAUGGAGCGAAUUACUUGCAGAAGGAUUACAGCACAUGUUUUCCAAAAACAUAAAUUUGGGAAAAAUCAAUCUGCUCACAGACAAAUAACGAAAAGAGGAAGAGGAAAAUAUUCUCAAACAAAUCUGAAUCUGGAAAUCAUUCACUCAGCUCAGUUUACAGUGACCAAUUUUUAUGGUAGUAGGAGCUUGUGGAGUAGGAGGUAACUGUAAGAAGAAUGAUUGAUUCAGUGUCUUAUAUUGCAAUUCUGGAAGAGGUUCAACAUCUAAUUUAAAAGCCAUUUUCUUGCUCUUACCCAGUAAAGAAAUCAAAAUGAUAGUCAAUGACUGUGAGUUUUGGGCAGAUAGCAUCUAUUUUGUGUCCCUAAAGUCCUGUGGUCACUGACACAGGCUGGUUCAUAACAAAGAGCAGUUACUUAUUAUGAAAGGCCUCUCUUGCCUGAAAAGAAACCUGCCAGAGGAAGGAUAUUGCUGUUAUAAUCCUCUUUGCAUCUUCCCAUUAGAGGGGAAAAUAUUUGCUCUUCCAGAAGGCUCAAAAUUAGUUAUAAACUUGGUGCUUUCCUUCAGCCUGUGAGUUGGGGAGACCUGAGUAAACUGCAUCUUCUCCAGCCCAUCUUCAUUUCUUGACAGUAAUUAAGAGAGCAGUGAUUUACUUCACCCUAGGAAGGAGACAAAGCACACUUUGGGCAUCUCUCUCCCAAGGCCUAGCCACACACCUGGCACAGGUGCUUCCUGCUCCAGACAGAGGUGGCUCUGAGUGUUCUGCUUAUGCCACUGGCACGGUGGGUGUGCAGCCAACAGCAGAUCUCCUUAAGUCCUUACGCUUUCUUCCUGAUUCCAUAUUUAACUCCUAAUUUCAUUCCUGAGCAGUCAAUGCUGUCUUUCACAGAGACAGCAGAUAGGAAGUAGUCCACUUGAGCCCUACAAGCUCAAUACUGCUAAUAUGUCAACUUCAACAAUUUAUCCAUACAAGAGCUUUAACUCCAACAACAAUCUGAAUGCAGACAGAUCUCAGCCUGCCUCUGUAGAACGCUUGAUCCAGGUCAAAACCUACCACUAACCUUUGCCUUUAUCCUGCCCAGAAUCCCCCAGACCACAUGCAUUUGGGAAGCUGGGCUAGAGAGGGUAAGAAAGAUAUCCUGCUAGCUUUUUUGGCUAUUGUUUAAUUUGUUACACAUGAUUAACUCCUCUAUGUUGCUGCCUGGCAGAAUCCGUGACUAAAAAUAUCCUGUGAGUAUACGGUGCGUGCUGCAACACUGGCAGAAAGUAAAUAAGACCAUAGUCCUCAUAAUCACUGUUUUUGCUAAGAACUACUGCUCCCAGCAGACUGGCUAUUUUAGGCUGUAAACGGAAAGCUGAAAAUGAGGUUUUCUUUCCCUGCCAGUUCUUCUCCUGGGAAUUCUAUUGCUUUCUGCUCUGCCCCUACUCCAGGUGUUGAUGGCAGCACGCUGCUAACACUGGUCUCACAGGGAAUGGAUCACCAGAGCUGGUUCUGAGGUAUACCAGUGAACAUAGGAAAUAAUUUCCACUAGUAUUGUCAUAUCAUUUGAAUGGAGCACUUGAUCAAAAGUGGAUGGGGAUAGUUUGAUUUACUUCUUGAGUCAGGUGAUAGUUCACUCAGAUUCAGCUUUACGAAGUCAGAAGGGUAUCUUUAGCUGCCUGCACUUCCUGUUCUAAUACUGGUAAAUGUAUUUGCCUCUCUCUUAAUUUUGCAGAACACCUUUUAACCUCUUAUUUGAUGAUCUAAACACAAACACUCUUGAUUUGUAGUCCCAUUGAUACCAGCGAUGCCUGGCCUUGUCUCCAUGAUAUAGCACCUAGAUCACACAUAUCAUAUAGAUCUAAUGAAAGAACUUUGCACGGUGUGCAAGUCUGAGAAGUGCUAAUUAUUAUUCUUAGACUCCAUGCAUUAUGUAUUUUCUGCUGGAAAAAGCUUUGCGUUUUUAGGAAUUCAAAAGAUUAGGCUUUGCUACAGCAACAUGCAAGUCUAAGAACUUGAGAACAAGUCAUAAUCUUUAGCAUUAGCUGUACCUUUCUGAUGGCUCAAAUGUUGUUUAGAAGGAUUUUCUAGGAAGGAUUUUCCAGGAAACACCCUAGCUAUUUCAUACUGUAUGGCAAACAGGUAUACAGAUUGUAAGGUAUACAGGUAUAGGACCAGAGAGAUUACCGUGUUUACAAAAGAGUAAUGAAAUAAAGAGCUUACCCAUAUCCUGGGCUCGCAGAAGGGUUCCAAAAGGGAUGAUCUCCAGAUAGAGAUCCUUCCUCCUUGGGAGACAGCCCUUAAAUGGGGUCUAGGAGGUCACUAAGGUGAAAUUGCGUUCACCUGUGCCCCUGCAGCUGACUCUGCUCACCUCAGGUGGUCAAUCAGAGGUUCAGGCCGUGAUUCAACAGUUCCCGUACACAUGGCAUGAACACUGCUGUCGUAUCAGGCCUGUAUAGCCUUAUUUGUGGAAUGCCACUCAAGAGCAUCCUUUGAGUUGCUGAGUAUCUGCUGAGUUCUUUUAAUCAGUUGUACUACUGUGAAGUGGUCUGUGUAUAUAAAAAAAAAAAAAACUUUUAACUUCCCACACAAAUAUCAGCCAGCAGCAUUCUGACAUUCAAUAAAGUCUGCAGUUCUAAUAGUUACUGAAACUUUUCAAAGUUAUGCCUAAAUGGAGGCAAUUAUAUAUCCAUACCUGUAUUUGCAGCGUUCUUAUGGUGUCUUAUUUCUUUCAAGAUCCUAUUGACUUUUCAGUUCAUGUGGUAUGAUACAGCAAGAGAUCACUGAGCACAGGGCUGGCCCACCAGCAGGCAUUCUGCUCUGCCUGCUGCACUUAUGUGGCAUGA